rnacentral:rRNA from 1 species
UACAGAGGUCCCAAGCGUUGUUCGGAUUCACUGGGCGUAAAGGGUGCGUAGGUGGCGAGGUAAGUCGGAUGUGAAAGCUCGGAGCUCAACUCCGAAAUGGCAUUGGAAACUACCUUGCUCGAGGGUUGGAGGGGGGACUGGAAUUCUCGGUGUAGCAGUGAAAUGCGUAGAUAUCAAGAGGAACACCUGCGGCGAAGGCGGGUUGCUGGGCCGACACUGACGCUGAGGCGCGAAAGCUAGGGGAGCGAACGGG